rnacentral:rRNA from 1 species
UAUCUCUGUAGAGUCUGCAUAUCAAUAAGCGGAGGAAAAGAAACUAACUAGGAUUCCCUUAGUAACGGCGAGUGAAGCGGGAAGAGCUCAAAUUUGAAAUCUUCAAGGUUUACCUUGACGAAUUGUAGUUUAAAGAAGUGUUUUCUGUUGGAGUUUUGGUAAAAGUUCUUUGGAAUAGGACAUCAUAGAGGGUGAGAACCCCGUAUUUGACCAUUAUUUCCAGCUUUGUGAUACACUUUCAAAGAGUCGGAUUGUUUGGGAAUGCAGUCCAAAAUGGGUGGUAAAUUUCAUCUAAAGCUAAAUAUUGGCGAGAGACCGAUAGCGAACAAGUACCGUGAGGGAAAGAUGAAAAGAACUUUGAAAAGAGAGUUAAACAGUACGUGAAAUUGUCAAAAGGGAAGCGUUUGACACCAGUGUUGUUUAGUUGAAAAUCAAUUCAAUAGUUUUUGGUUCUAAGUAGUAUUGACUUCAUCAGCUUGCUGCUUUCUUCUCAGAAAUUAUUGAAUGCACUUUUCAGUUAACAAGUCAACAUCAAUUUCUUUUGUUGUAAAAGGGUAAGAGGAAGGUGGCUUGCGCUUCGGCUCAAGUGUUUACAGCCUUUUAUCUCUGCAAUCGGAGAGAUUGAGGUCUGCAGCGUAGAUCCUUCGGGGUUAGAUACAUUGGUGCUAAGCUAUAGCCUUGUAUAGACAACUUGUUGACUAUGCUCAGUCAUGUAGCUUACUCGCUGAUGCUAUUUUACCUACGCUUAGGAUGUUGAAUCUGUGCGAGACUAC